AGGCAGAGAGGCCUCCGUGGCCAGGGAGCCGCGGGCAAGGGGCGCAGGGGAGGGGGGCCAGGUGCCAGCCACUUAAAAAUGUCCCUGUGGCAGUGUGGGGUGCCAGAAGCUGGCUCAAGUGAGUUAAGAAGCAGUGACACCCCUAACCUUCCCCCAGACAGGCCGGCCCCCACCUUCAGGCCCCCCAGGAACCCCACCUGGACCAGACUCCUGGAGAGGCAGGGGCACUGGCUGGUGGACCCGGACUUGGAGAGGCAACAAGCCCAGAGAGGGGGCCUCCUGGGGACCAGCGGAGGGCAGGUAGCCCCGGAGACAGACGCGUGAGUGCCCCCGACACCCUGUGCCUACCUCCAUCCCACCUGCCCCACGGCCAUGCUGCAAGGAGCCUCCGCAGUGUCCCGAGUCCCUGAGAACACGCUCUCCGACCCGCAGAAGGGCCACACCACCAGGGCUUGCAGAGGAGGCGGGGGAGGGUAUGGAAGGAAGCCCCCCUAAUGAGUAGGGGGAGGGAAGGCAGUUCAAGGAGGCUGGCAGAAGAAAUGAGCUCCUAAAGAAGGGAAAACCAGCCAGCAGCCAAGCACCCUCCCCGCCCUGUCUGCCGACAGGACAGCGGUGCCAGGCCGCGUGAUCAGGUCAAGAAUGGAUUGAAAAACUAGGGAACAAACAGCAAUCUUCCCUAGAAAGGAGGAAAUGGAAGGAAGACCUGGGCUGUGUGUCCUUGGCCAAGUCACUCAGCCUCUCUGAGCACUGGGCUGAUAAACCAGCUCAUGGGGCUCUGAGAGCGCUCCUCCCAGGGAGGCUGAGAAAGGCAACCACUGUUUUCACAGUCCAUCAAGUUCCAGCGUCCAUAGGCACUUUCUGUUAGUGGCAAAGGAGGCAGGCUGAGGGACUGACCCAUAAGCCAGGUGGGCAGACUGAGGCCCAGGAGACUGAAGGAACUCACCGAGUUGCAGGGCGGCCAGCUGUGGUCAGAGGCACUGGACCUCGUGUGGGUGGAAAGAGCGCAGGGAGAGCUGGAAGUGAGCAGAGGGGAAGGGAGGGGAAGGUGGGGUUCCGGAGACGUGGGACAAGGCCCAGGCCUGUCUUGCAUAACACGGCCCACCUGUUCACCCCGGCACACCCCACACAUGUGUGCAAACGUGCACCCCAGCACAGCGCACACCCGGUCACCACUCACUAGCACAUGAGCCUCGGAGACUGGAUCUAAACAAAUUGGAUUAGCAGGGCUGCAGGCGCCUCCUCCCCCGCCCAUCCGGCUGCUAGGACACUAAGCAGGCCUGCAGAGCUGCCAGCUGCGGUCUCUCGGCCCUGCUGACAGUCAGGGCCUGGCUCCCUCCCCCAGCCCGGGCCCCAGGAAGCAGGCCGGGGUCCGAGAGGAUGCUGCGAUGAUGGAUGGGGUGAAGGCGGCUCCAGGGCUAGCUCGAGAGCAGACAGGAUGUUAGUGCUUUGGGGAGGCCCGAUUCUGAGCAGUUACCAGCAACUGACCCCCACUGCCCCUCUCACCCUCCCUUCCUGCAGCCUCUCCCACAGAGAGGCUGUGGCUGACCAGAGCCGGGGCCCAGGCCCCAGCACAUCCACCCUCGAAGCUGCGCUGAGCAGGGGGAGGCCAGCUCGGAAGACAUCAGCCUCAAGAUGAGACCAGGCAGGCACCUUAGAGGGCGGAAGCACUUGUGAGCCUUCUGAAAGGUGGCAUCCCUGAGCUUGCUCAUCCAGCAUUUGGCUGAAUCCUCUGAACGUGUCAGGGAGUUGGGUGCCCACAGCACUGAUGGGACUACUGAGACCUGUCCAUUCAGUGAUUCCGCAGCACCCCUUUCUUGAGACCUGAGCCAGCGCCAGGCCCAGUGCAAUGCGCUGGGGACACUGAGAUGAUGCACGGACAGCCCCGGCUCCCACGGGUUCACCGAGUGGUCUCCUGAGGGCUGGGUCACAGGGCCUCCCUGUUCCUUUCUCCAUAAAGCACAAGGCAGUGGCUGGAUAGGGCCACCAAGAAGAGCCUCAGCCACCAGCCCGGCCAGAACACAGGCCCUGACGUCACACGGCCCUGAGUUCAAAUCCUGCCUCGCCCCCUCUUCAGCUGUCUUUUCGGCGACUUGGCCUCUUGUAGUUCUGCAACAUGGGAGCACAGGGCUCCCCCCUCAUAGAGCUGAUUUCUUUUUUCCACACCCCCAAUUGACAGAGGGAGACACAGAGGCCCAGAGGGAAAAGUGGCUUGGCCCGGAUCACACCUUGAGCCGCAGGUGAACAGGACCAGGUGGGUCCCCGCCUCUUGGCUGCUCCUCCCCAUCCCUUACUGGCCUCGACCUCCUCCUUCCUUCUCUACCCUGAGUAGCCCCAUGGGCCAGGGUGGCCAGCGUGUGCAGGUGAUCACAGACAGGUCCCAGGUGCUAGCUGGGCCCCCGUGGCAGCGGAGCCGCAGGUGAGCAGAGGUGGCUUCCAGCCCCUGAGUCGCGGGCAGGGUGGGGGAGCGCACACAGGCUCCCAGCCCUGAGCAGCCUGGCCAUAUAAGGGAAGGCGCUCAGGGAGGCCUGGCCCAGACGCCGAGAAAGCCCAGACAGCCACUGCUUAUUUCUCCUUCCCGGCCUCCCUUCACCCAGCCCUCCCUGGAGUUCCCCACAGCAGACAGAGGUCCCCCGGCGCAGAGAUGUUUGCUGACGGCUCGCCAAGGAGGGAGAAGCGCUCGCCCUGCCGGGAGCUGGCUCCCGAGCUGCCAACAGCCGGCAUUCAGAGCCACCACCAGGUAAGCUGCCCAGGCCGCCUGCUUCAGCUGCCUGCUUUCCCAGAGGGGGAGACAGGGCCCUAGAGAGGAGGGGCCUGCUGACAGCAACUACCCAGAUGGCUGACGGAACCCCGGAGGCCCCCUCAACUCCCGCACGGGAAGGAGGGCCUCGCUGGACAGGGCUGGGGCCAGGACAAUGCCGUCUGCUGGCCCAGCAGCUGCCUAAGACAGAGAAUCUGCCCAUUCCUCUCAGCCCAGCCAUACCACUUCCUCCUCCAGGAAGACCUCCUAGCCACACCCAAGGGCAGGAACCUCUUUGUCCUCCAAGCCUGGGCCUUCCUUUCUUGGUCCCAUUUGGAUCUGCCCCUUUCCACCUUGCCAGGGGUGUUUCCUUCUACCUGGGGAAGGAUGGCCUCAGAUGCAGCCCCUCGCCACUCAGCACAUAGCCAAGGCCUGUCCCAAACCGAGAGCACUGGGAGAGGGGUCGGGGGCAAGACAUCUGGCACAGAGGUGAACGCGAGGGUCCUGGGGUCUGCCCUACUGGGUCAGUACUCCUGGCGUGAUUCCUCACAAUGGUCACUUGGCCAAUUUUCCUCCCAUGGAGCCUUGGGGAUGCACAGGAUUUGCACGUUCAAAACAUCCAAGAAGUAGCCUCUCCUAGACAGUCAUCGUCCUAUUCUAGAGACAAAGGAUCAGAACUGGGAGGCUAGAGGAGGGGCAGCAGACGGACGCGGAAGCAGAGAAAGGCCGCUGGGCAAGGCCGCCUCUCAGCCCCCCUCCCCCGUGCCAGCUUCUCCCAGGCGCGAGUGGGACUGACCCCUUGCAGUUCCUGUGUCUAAGCCCAGAAGAGACGGUGUCUGUGCAGUCGUCCCAGCACACAGGUGUACUACAGCCUGCCCUUGAUGCCCCUGGCUGGAGGCCAGGCUCUCUUUCCUGGCCCCUCCCCUUCCUGGCCGCCCAUGUGGAUGCGGUAAGCAGCCUCGCCCGGCCUCUCGUGCUGCCCUCCAGACUAAAUGGGAUCAGCCACUGUGUGCCAGAUUCAGUCGUUCGGACGCUUGCUUUUUCGUUUUUGCCAUCUCUGCGUGCAGUCCUAGUCUUAAAUGGAAGGUGAGUCCUUCAUAAUACUUAACGAGACACAGCCACUCUUAGGCGGAAAACCAUAGCACUUUCCAUCAAUAGGAGAUAAAAGUCAAAAUAAACAUAGUAAAAAUGAAACAACCUGGUUACACUUUAACCUGACAGCCCUGGGCCUGAGGCUGGCGCAAGCAGGAGGGAGACAGGUGUCAGUGGGAGAUGGCGUCCAGGCUUCCUCCUCCCUGUAAACAGAAGGGCUGGCAGCAAAUCAGCAGGGGGACAACCCAAGUCACUCCGUGUCCCCAAGUGAGUUAGGGCUGAAGCCGCAUCUCCCAAACUCACUCACCACACCUGCUGUGCCCCAGGAAAGCAGAGGUAGUGCGGGUGGUGUCGGGGCGCCAGGUGAGACACGACGGCCCUCAGUGGGGUUCCUGGCUUCUCACUGGAAGCUCCUCAGGCUGUGGACUCCACUCCCACGCCUGGGGGAGCCAUGCAGAAUCCGAAUCACCCCCCAGCCAAACGCGACUGGAAAGAGCACUUGCAGAGGGUCCCAGGUAAGGGGAAGGCAGCCAGCCCCGUGCCUAGGAACUAGAGAGGAAGCAGCUGCCGCGGUGCGGAGGUCCCCUGCCCCAGUGCUUCCUGCUCGUCCCCAAUUCAACCUGGGGCCUGAUCUCGCAUUCCACCCAGAGAGGUGUGUGUGUGUCUUCUACUCAGUCCCAGUCCAGGGAGAGGCUGCCCACUCCCUUCACACAUCCCUGAAAGUGGGUCACCAUCAAGGCCACAGGGGGCUCCGCUGCACUGCCUGGGACCUCGGCUGGAGUGGGGUCGUGGCAGGAAAGGGAAGAGGGGCCUUGCCUCCUCCCCCAGAGCUCCAACCCGGGGCUUGAGGAGGAAUCGACUCGUCCACACAGUCACUAAAUCAGCCAUAAAUGGCUUUCCCUGUGGCCCACCAUAACCUACAAGCCCAUCAACAAGGCCCAGGGCUCCCUGAUGAACAGAUGAGGGCAGUGUCCUUGGCACUGGCUGGAGAUCCAACCAGGCCAGACCCAGCCGUGAACAAUCCUGUACUGGUGAGAAGAGACCGAGUCCACUCGACCGCUCAGCAUCCGCCUGCCGGGCCCUGAGCUCUGAGAUGCGUGCACUUGGCAGGGUCCCCUCCCUCACAGGUGGGCCAUGCGGUCCACAAGUGCAGCGGUCAUCAGUGACAGUUACCUUUCGGGGGUGGUCAAGGGUUCCAAAGAGGGCACGGGAUGAGUACGAGUGAGCAGGGAGUGGGGAACACUGAACUGCCGGGGGAGGCCUUCGCUGCCAGGGCAGCAGCACAGCACCUGUGGAUCCGGGUGGGUGAGCACAGGGCUCCCAGAGUGACGGAAGGGUGUCUCUGGGGGUGGGUGCAGCCAGAGCAGGGGCGUGGCCACUGGGGCCAGAGGCACAAUCGGCAGGCCUUGGUGAGGGCCAUCAGAGCCCUUCUGGGAUUGUGAGUCUGGGAAGGCUCACCCUAGGGGCAGGCAUCCAGCCUUGCAACUGAGCUGCCCGCAUCCCAUAUCACAGCAGCUGGGGUGAAUUCCUGGCUUUAGCUCCUGCCUCCACCUCGCUGCUAACGUGCACACUGGGAGGCAGCCACGGAUGGCUCAAGCAGUUGGGUCCCUGCCACCCACAUGGGAGACCUGGAGCUCCCAGCUUUGGCCUUGACCCAGACCGGGUUGUGGCAAGCUCUCUAUCUCUGGCUACAUCUUUCUGCCUCUCAAAAAAAUUUUUUUUAAAAAUCACUCUAGAAGGUUGAGAGGGAAAAGGGGAGGAGUGAGAAACAGAGAGACAUGGUGGAGGCAGCUGUUCAUCGAUACAUAAAGUCAAGUCCCUCUCUGCCUGCAGGGCGUAAGCACAAGUGACUGUGCCAUCAGGGUCGGAUCAGACAGAUCUAGAGACAGACAGCGCCUGCCCAGGCCCAGGACAAGGCAGGAGGAAAUACUCUGACACUGACUGCCGAGGCUUGCACAACCUCAUGGAUGUAUGGAAAACCAGUUAAUGGAGCACCUUAAAUGUGUGAUUCUAUCUUUCCAAAUCUGUAGGGGAUGCAGUGGAAAGGGAGGUGGAGGUUUGGGCCCAGAGAGCUCAGGUGACAGUCCCAGGACAGGAGAAGAAGCUCCUGGGCAGAGCCGGAGAAGAAGCCGGGGUGCCCUCUGAAACCCCUUCUCCCGCGCAGGGCUGAGCCCACCGCAGCGGCCCACAAGGAGCAGUGGAGCAGCGGGGCCGUGUCUCCCAGCCUGAGGUGCAGUGCUGCAUCUCUGGUCAGUUGGGAGUCUGAGAUGAAGCACUGUAGCUCGGGAAGGGAGAAGUUGUUCUCCAGCCAGCGACCUGAGCGGUGAGUUGUGGGACUCGGGGUGGGGACCAGGAAGGACGCACGGCGGAGCUUCCAGGCUCUGCACUGCCCACCACUCGCGGUGCUGGGCCCAAGGUCUCUGCACGCCGCCACCUGCUUGGUCACUCCAGGCGAGUGCUGACUCCCCUGUGUGCCCCAUUGUCCUCUGGUCAGCACCAUGCCCACCCCCGGCCCCUGAGCCUGUGGCAAACACUGCUGCCACUGCGUGCAUUCUUGAAACUUUCAGAUACAGCUUCAGAAUCCUUCUCAACACUGAGUCCUGGGCAGCCACGCUGAGUGAGUCACCGCUGAGAUCCACUCAGCAUUUGUGAUUCUCACGAUUCCUAAAAAUCCUUUCGGCUCCCAAAACAAAAAAGCGCUGGGCUUCGAGUCACAGUGUCCAGACUCUGAGCUGCCAGCCGUGGCUCUGGCUGUUGCCUGCGUCCGUCCAGGCCUCACAAAUAUCUGCUCCAUCCCGGAGGCAUCAUAACAAGCGACAGACAGCAGAGGAGGCUGACUGAGCUCAGCUCGGUUCUACCUAAAGCCCCACAAGCUUGGGAGGCAGCCAGUGUAAUUGGCCCAUUUUCCAGAUGAUGAAACUGGGGCUCAGUUAAGUGCCUUGCCCAGGGGGACAUAUCGUACCCUAACCUCUGUGCCUCCUGGGACAGAGAGAAGGAGGGAGAAAUAAGAAGUCCUCCUCUGGUCCUGCCUUUAUUUCAAAGACAAACCCAGAUGGUUGCCAUUAGUCCUAUGAAUGCCCUUCCUGCUCCCCCCUCCAUCUCUUAUCUAUCUCACCUGUCCAGGAGGGCCCACACUCUCCCAUUUCACAGCUAAGGAACACCAAGGCUCCAAGGUUAAGUGACGUGCUUGAGAUCACCAGCGGGGAACUUGCCAGCCAGACCCUGGGAACUGGAUCUGCCCAGCUGGCUUCCCGCCAUCCCGCUGGCUGGAGACCCAGGGAACACACGUGACCCAGGGCAGUCGUAGGAGACAGGGGCCGGGGGCUGGAGUGCCAGAUGGCCCCGGCGCAGACAGCAUCACCACGUCUGGCCUUUGACUACUGGGGAGGUACUUUCCAGGGCAUCUGAGGUUCCCGUCACUGCUCCUCCGGAGCGAGGCGCCGCAGCCUGUGAGAUGUGGCACCCGCGCUGCUGGAAGAAGACUCCAGCUGGGCCCUGGGGACACGUGGGCCUGGGGGUCCACGGCCACGCUUGCCCACCUUGUCCUCGGGGUCCAGUUUUCCCAGGAAUCCCUUAGAUGCUAAGAUGGGGAUUCCUGGAAAUACUGUUCUUGAGGUCAUGGUUUCACAGCUGGCCCAGCGUUGCCGGGGGGCCUCGGCUCAGCCUGGACGCAGGGGAAGGAGACGGCCGUGCACCCGAGGUAAGAGCUUCCGAGCUGUGCCCGUGACCUUUACGCUGCUUUUCUCCGCAUUGUGUCCGUUCCAUAACCUCCCUGAGAGGCUGGCUGUGGGAGGCGCGUCCAGCGUCCCUGAGCAUGGCCGGCCCCGGGGAGCCAGGACCCCUCCCGGCACAUGCUUCCAGGCCUCGAGGAGUGCAGUCCACAUUCCUGAAAGACACGGGUCAACUAAACUCUAAAAAUCCCAGAGGUGAGCGCGAACCGCCAGUGUCAGUUCAACUGAAGACCCAGCCACACGAACGUGCACAGUGCUCACCAGGGCGGGGCACAGAAAGUACAGAGGCUCCCUGCCCUGCCUCUGCCUGCUCUCCAGCCAAGAUGGCUGCCACAACGACCUCGCACCCCGAGCGGAGCACAGCCGAGGCUGGCUGUGUGUGUGUACGUGCAGGCAUGCACUCACACAGACACAUGUCUACACACAUGCACACUCAUGCACACAGGCACACACACACACCAAGAUUCCAUGGUCUAGUCAUUUUUGAACCAGCGCCAGCACCCAGCAUGUCUGCCAUCUCCUUACCAGCAGGGCUGCCACCGUCUGGCUCAUCCUCCAAGCCCUGCUAAGCUCACAGGGACUGGUGAGCCUCAGAGGUGAAGAGACCAGGCCCGAAAUCACCCAGACAGCAACAGGCAGAGCCACGAUGAACUCCAAGGACACUGGUCUAUGGCAGUGUCUUAGGCAAAAGCAGAAACUACGAAACUCCACAAAAGCAGACUGCCCCUCGACGACAUGCAGGGAAUGCUGACAAAGACUAGAAGUUCCACCACUCCCUUCCCAGUGCCCUUGCUCUAAGGGUGCCAUGUCCACAUUCCCAGGGACCCGAUGACACCCACAAGUGGCCCAGGCUGUGAUCCUAACAGGCCAUACCGAAGACACCCAGGAAAUGAGGCCCUUCUGCUCACACACAGGGCCGGGCCUGAGCACGACAAAUGGAAUGUGCUGUGCACAGCUUCCACGUACGAUUCGCCAGGCACCCACCGUGCUGCACACUGUCACGGGCGUUGGUUCACUCCGCCUUCACACCAGCCGGUGAAGUGGGUUCUGCCAUCACAGCUGCACAGUGGCAAACUGGGAUCCAGUCCAGGCCAGUGGGGUCCUUCCCAGCAGUGCCCCCGGGGCACAGGGAAAAGCAAGGCUAGGGUGGAACCUGAGCCGUCUCCUGUGUCCCAUCGAUGUAAUAAAGCGCUGGGCCCUC